rnacentral:lncRNA from 1 species
GCACCGGGAUCGGAGAACGAAUACGUGGAGUCAGGAGAGUACGUGCAGGACGAACCAGAACCAUUCCAAGCUGAGGAUAUCACAGGCAAGAUGACAUGACCUUGAUUCCAUCUCUAGACUUGUUAUGCUAGUUUCGUUUCCAUGUCAUAUUGCUUGCUGCCUACCACUGAAAUUAAAUUUCCUCUUCAUAUGCCAUGAGCCGAAACACUGUUCCCCUUCCUAGCAAAACUUAUAUGGCUAAGUAGGCUUUGCUCAGCUACUAAUGAUAGCAUUGCUAGAUGCAGGUGCUUUGACUCAUGUGACAACAUGAGCUUGAUAUCAUUAUCUUAAAUUCUGUUAUUUUAAUUAAUGCACUUAUAUACUUGGUAGAUGACGGAAGGCCUAGCCUUUUUGCCGGGUGCUUUGUUCCGUUAUUGCCGCCUUAGUUACCGGUUACCGGUGUUUGAUUCCAUAAUGAUCGCUCCUAACACGUUCGGGGUUGUUAUGGGGNNNNNNNNNNNNNNNNNNNNNNNNNNNNNNNNNNNNNNNNNNNNNNNNNNNNNNNNNNNNNNNNNNNNNNNNNNNNNNNNNNNNNNNNNNNNNNNNNNNNGAUGUGAUUAAAUUGAAGCUUUCCCUUUCUCGUUGCGAGAUCGAGCAAAACUUGGUUUUCGUCUUUGCCCAAAAAUAGUAUUGAUUCUUGGAAUAAGUGCAAAGAUGCUUACCAAUCCAAGUAUUUUCAGCCGGCUAAGAUUAUCUCUCUCCGUCAUGAUAUCAUGAAUUUAUAAACUUGAUCAUGAACAUGUUGCACAAUCUUGGGAGAGAAUGAAAUUGAUGAUUAGAAAUUGUCCCAGUCAUGGCUAAGUCUGUGGAUGAUUAUACAAAUCUUUUACGCUGGCUUGAAUUUCGCUUUUAGAAAUAUCUUGGACUCUGCCUCAGGUGGAACGUUCAUGGAAAUUAUGUUAGGAGAAGACACAAAACUCCUAGACAAUAUCAUGACGAACUACUCUCAGUGGCACACUGAAAAGGUCACCUACUAGUAAGAAGGUACACGCUAUAGAAGAAAUUAACUCGUUGAGUGCUAAGAUGGAGGAGUUAAUGAAUUUGGUUGCUAGUAGAAGUGCUCCUUUAGAUCCUAAUAAUAUACCCUUAUCUUCCUUGAUUGAGAGUAGCAACGCUAGCUUGGACGUUAAAUUAUUGGUAGGAAUAAUUUUGGCAACAACAAUGCUUUUAGAGGAAACUAUGUUCCUAGGACUUUUCCUAGUAACCCCUCUAAUAACUUUUGCAACUCCUACAACAAUACUCAUGGAAAUUACAAUAGAUUACCCUCUGAUCUAGAGAGUAAUAUCAAAGAGUUUAUCAACUCACAAAAGAUUUUCAAUGCCUCCAUAGAGGAAAACUACUCAAAAAUGACGAUUUGGCUAGGAGCGUUGAUAGAAUGUCUAGUGAUAUUGAUGCUUUGAAAGUUAGAUGUGCUCCUCCCAAGAUCAAUAUGGAUGAAACUUUGAAAGCUAUGCGUAUUUCCAUGAGUGAGAGCAAAUAAAGAAUCGCCCAAAUUCGUGCUAGACAUGAAUGGCUUAAAAGGGCGUGUUCUCGUGAUAAGAAUCACGAAGAUCUUAAAGUGCUUGGUGUGACUCCCAUUGAAUCUUUGUUUUCUUGUGUCAAACCUAAAGAUUAUGGGGCUGGAUAUGAAUCCACUUUGGUUGAAAAGCGCCCCAAUGAUUCGGAGUCCAUCUAUCUUGAUGCUAAAAGCACUGAAAGUGGAGUACAAGAUAUUAAAACCUUGAGUAGUAAUAAAAUUACUACUUUGGAUUUCAAGGAAUUCAAUUAUGAUAGUUUCUCCUUGAUUGAAUGCAUUUCCUUGAUGCAAUCAAUGCUAAACUCUCCACACGCUUAUAGCCAAAACAAGGCCUUUACUGAUCAUAUCGUCGAAGCUAUGAUAAAAUCUCUUGAAGAGAAACUUAAUUGGAAGUUUCUAUCCCUAGAAAGCUUCAUGAUGAGUGGGAACCUACUAUCAAAAUCAAAAUCAAAAACUAUGAAUGAAAUGCUUUGUGUGAUUUGGGUGCUAGUGUUUCCACGAUUCCAAAGUCUUUAUGUGAUGUUCUGGGUUUUAAUGAGAUUGAGGAGUGUUCUCUUAAUUUGCAUCUUGCGGAUUCUACUGUGAAGAAACCCAUGGGAAGGAUCAAUGAUGUUCUUAUUAUUGCAAAUAGGAACUAUGUACCCAUGGAUUUCAUUAUGCUUGACAUUGAUUGCAAUCCUACAUGCCCUAUCAUUCUUGGUAGACCUUUCCUAAGGACUAUUGGUGUUAUCAUCGAUAUGAAGGAAGGGAAUAUUAGAUUUCAAUUUCCUUUAAAGAAGGGCAUGGAGCAUUUUCCUAGAAAGAAAAUAAGAUUGCCUUAUGAAUCUAUGAUGAGGGCUACUUAUGGUUUGAGCACCAAAGACGACGAUACGUGAUUCUAUCGCCUUAUGCCUAGCUAAGGGCGUUAAACAAUAGCGCUUGUCAGGAGGCAACCCAAUGAAUUUAUCUUUUUCUUUCUGUUUUGUUGCGUCCACGCCAUCAUAAUUCUGUUAUGAUAGUGUCUUUUGUGUUUCUUUUUGUGUUUGAGCCAAGCAAAACCUUUAUGACUAGUCUUGGUGAUGGUUGUUUGAUCUUGCUGGAAAAAGACAUAAACUUUUUGCUCACGAGAUUAUUUUUCAUUUUUAUUCAGAAAGAGAUUUUGAGUUGCUUUCUUUUUCUUCUGAUUGAUAUGCCUUUUUCCCAGGCAGUAGUAAUAUUUCAGAAUUUUUGAGGUACGAGAAGUAUACGAAGUAUACAGAUUGCUACAGACUGGUCUGUUUUUGACAGAUUCUGUUUUUGUUGAGUUGGUUGUUUGUUUUGAUGAAACUAUGGAUAGUAUAGGGGGGUACUAGCCAUGGAAAAGUGAGAAUACAGUAAUCUAACACCAAUAUAAAUAGAGAUCAAGAUUUCUACACUACCUAAAGAGGUGGUAGUUUGUUUUCUUGUGCUAAUGAUAUCACGAAUUUCUGUUUAAGUUUUGUGUUGUGAAGUUUUCAAGUUUUGGGUGAUGUUCUCAUGGACAAAGGGAUAAAGAGUGGAAAGAACUCAAGCUUGGGGAUGUCCAAGGCAUCCCAAGCCAAAUUCAAGGACACCAAAAAGCCUAAGCUUGGGGAUGCCCCGGGAAGGCAUCCCCUCUUUCGUCUUCAAUCCAUCGGUAACAUUACUUGGAGCUAUAUUUUAUUCACCACAUGAUAUGUGUUUUGCUUGGAGCGUCUUGUAUCGUAGGAGUCUUUUCUUUUUGUUGUGUCACAAUCAUCCUUGCUGCACACAUUUUUAGAGAGACAUGCACUCAUCGUGAAUUUGCUAGAAUGCUCAUCGUGCUUCACUUAUAUCUUUUGAGCUAGAUAAUUUUGCUCUAUGUGCUUCACUUAAAUCUUUUUAGAGCACGGCGGUGCGUGACUUGGUAGUUGGUUUGUGCUAUGAAAGUAGUCCCAAAGGUGAUAGGUACACAUAGAGGAUAUAAAAACUUCCAUCUUCAUGAGCGUUGAGUAGAAAGAGAAGUUUGAUUCCUCUCAAUUAGUUUUGAGACGUGGAUUUGGUAAUAUUAAGAGUUAUGUUAGUAGGCUGUUGUGAAUCUAGAAAUACUUGUGUUGAAGUUAGUGAUUCCCGUAACAUGCACGUAUGGUGAACCGCUAUGUUAGGAAGUCGGAGCAUAAUUGAUUUAUUGAUUGUCAUCCUUUGUGUUGCGGUCGGGAUCGCGCGAUGGUUUACACCUACCAACCCUUCCCCUAGGAGUAUGCGUUUAGCACUUUGUUUCGAUUACUAAUAAAAAGUUUCGCAACAAGUAUGUGAGUUCUUCAUGACUAAUGUGAGUCCAUGGUAUAGAUGCACUUUCACCUUCCACCAUUGCUAGCCUCUCUAGUGCCGCGCAAUUUUCGCCGGUGCGCAAACCCACCAUAUGCCUUCCUCAAAACAGCCACCAUACCUACCUACUAUGGCAUUUUGGCUAUUCUGAGAUAUAUUGCCAUGCAACUCCCACCGUUCCAUCUCAUGACUUGUUCCGUCACUCUCAUAUUUCCAUUGCAUGAUCAUAAGAUAGCUAGCGAGAUGUUUCAACGUCAUACGCCAAGCUAGAUCGUUGCACAUCUCGGUACACUGCCGGAGGCAUUUCCUAUGGAGUCAUCAUCGUUCUAAGCUUUGAGCUGUGAGUAAAUAAAAGUGUGAUGAUCGUCAUUAUUAGAGCAUUGUCCCAUGUGAGGAAAUAAAAAAGGCCAAAGAGCCCAAAUAAAAAAUAGAAGAGAAAAAAAGAGGUCAAAGAGCCCAAAUAAAAAAGGAGAGAAAAGAGAGAAGGGACAAUGCUACUAUCUUUUUCCACACUUGUGCUUCAUAAUAGCACCAUGUACUUCAUGAUUGAGAGCCUCUUGCUUUGUCACCACCAUAUACUAGUGGGAAUCUUUACUAUAUAACUUGGCUUGUAUAUUCCAAGGAUGGGCUUCCUCAAAUUGCCCUAGCUCUUUGUGAGCAAGCAAGUUGGAUGGACACCCACUAGUUCUCCUUUUGAGCUUUCACAUACUUAUAGCUCUAGUGCAUCUCUUGUAUGGCAAUCCCUACUCAUUCACAUUGAUAUCUAUUAAUGGGCAUCUCCAUAGCCCUUUGAUACGCCGAGUCAAUGUGACCAUCUCCUCCUUUUUGUCUCACAACCACGACCACACUCUAUUCCACCUAUAGUGCUAUAUCCAUGGCUCACGCUCAUGUAUUGCGUGAUAGUUUGAGAAAGUAAGAGUGCGAAAACAAUUACUUGGCCAAUACCGGGGUUGUGCAUGAUUUAAAUUAGUUGUGUGAGGAUGAUGGAGCAUAGCCAAACCAUAUGAUUUUGUAUGGAUAACUUUCUUUGGCCUUGUUAUUUCGAAAGUUCAUGAUUACCUUGCUAGUUUGCUUCAAGUAUUAUUGUUUUCAUGUCAAUAGCAAACUAUUGUUUUGAAUCUUACGGAUCUGAACAUUCAUGUCACAUGAAAGAAGUUACAAAGGACAACUCGAGGACGAGCAGGAGUUAAGCUUCGGGGUGCUUGACACGUCUCCAACGUAACUAUAAUUUUUAUGGUUCCAUGCUAUUAUCUUGUCAAACUUUGGAUGUUUUGUAUGCCUUUUAUAUCUUUUUGGGACUAACUUAUUAACUCAGUGCCAAGUGUCAGUUCCUGUAUUUUUCGUGUUUUUACCCUUUUCAGAGGAGGAUUUUAAACGGUGUCCAAACGGAAUAAAACUUCCGAAAAGAUUUUUCCGAAACAGAAGAUACACGCCAGACUUGAGAACCAAGGCAAGGGCCAGCAGGGGACCCCACAAGCCCGCUAGGCACGGCCAAGGGGCGCGCCUAGCAGGCUUUUGGGCCCCCUGUGGCACGUCUGCCCUACCUCUUCCUCCUAUAAAUUCAGAAAAAUUCCAAAACUGCGUGAGAGAUCCACGAAAAUACUUUUCCACCGCCGCAAGCUUCUGUCUCUGCAAGAUCCCAUCUGGGGCACGUUCUGGUGCCCUACCGGAGGGGGAUUCGGAUACAGAGGGCUUCUUCAUCAACACCAUGACCUCUCCGAUGAUGCGUGAGUAGUUCACCAUAGACCUUCGGGUCCAUAGCCAGUAGCUAGAUGGCUUCUUCUCUCUCUUGGAUCUUCAAUACAAAGUUCUCCAUGAUCUUCAUGGAGAUCUAUCCGAUGUAAUCUUCCUUUGCGGUGUGUUUGUCGAGAUCCGAUGAAUUGUGGAUUUAUGAUCAGAUUGUCUAUGAAUCUUAUUUGAGUUUCUUCUGAUCUCUCUUAUGCAUGAUUUCAUAUCCUUGUAAUUCUCUUCGAGUUGUGGGCUUUGUUUGGCCAACUUGAUCUAUGAUUCUUGCAAUGGUAAAAGUGCUUGGUUUGGGUUCAUACCGUGCGGUGACUUCACCCAGUGACAGAAGGGGUAGCGAGGCACGUAUCGUGUUGUUUCCAUCAAGGGUAAAAGAUGGGGUUUUCAUCGUUGGUUUGAGUUUAUCCCUCUACAUCAUGUCAUCUUGCUUAAAGCGUUACUCUGUUCCUCAUGAACUCAAUACACUAGAUGCAUGCUGGAUAGCGGUCGAUGUGUGGACUAAUAGUAGUAGAUGCAGAAAGUAUCGGUCUACUUGUCUCGGACGUGCUGCCUAUAUGUAUGAUCAUUGCCUUAGAUAUCGUCAUGACUUUGCGCGGUUCUAUCAAUUGCUCGACAGUAAUUUACUCACCCACCGUAUCAUUUGCUAUUUUGAGAGAAGCCUCUAGUGAACACUAUGGCCCCCGGGUCUACUUCACACCAUAUUUUCAGCCUUACUCUUUUACUUCGUUGCACUUUCCGCCUUCAGAUCUCACUUUGCAAUCAAUCUUGAAGGGAUUGACAACCCCUUUAUAGCGUUGGGUGCAAGCUCUUUUGUGGUUGCACAGGUACUCUGGACUUGACGCGAUUCUCCUACUGGAUUGAUACCUUGGUUCUCAAACUGAGGGAAAUACUUACUGCUCCUGUGCUGCAUCACCCUUUCCACUUCAAGGGAAAACCAACGCAAGUUCAAGGGGCCAGCAGAAGGAUUUCUCGUGCCGUUGCCGGGGAGGAUCAAGUCAAGAACUCAUCCAAGUAAGUGUCGCAAACUCAUCUCUUGCAUUUACUUUUUUGCCUCUCGUUUUCCUCUCCCCCACUUCUCAAAACAAAAUUUACAAAAUAUUUGCCUUUUUCGUUCGCCCUUUUCUCUCGCUUGCUUUCUGUCCGCUUGUGUGCUUGCUUGCUUGCUGAAGUCGCCAUGACUGAAAACACCAAACUUUGUGACUUCUCGAAUACAAAUAAUAAUGAUUUUAUUAGUACUCCGAUUGCUCCUGCCACUAGUGCGGAGUCAUACGAAAUCAAUGCUGCUUUGCUGAAUCUUGUUAUGAAAGAGAUAUUCUCCUGCCUUCCUAGGGAAGAUGUCGCAUCCCAUCUUAAUACCUUCAUUAAGCUUUGCGAUAUGCAAAAGAAGAAACAUGUGGAUAAUGAUGUGAUUAAAUUGAAGCUUUUCCCUUUCUCGUUGCGAGAUCGAGCAAAACUUGGUUUUCGUCUUUGCCCAAAAAUAGUAUUGAUUCUUGGAAUAAGUGCAAAGAUGCUUACCAAUCCAAGUAUUUUCAGCCGGCUAAGAUUAUCUCUCUCCGUCAUGAUAUCAUGAAUUUUAAUAAACUUGAUCAUGAACAUGUUGCACAAUCUUGGGAGAGAAUGAAAUUGAUGAUUAGAAAUUGUCCCAGUCAUGGCUAAGUCUGUGGAUGAUUAUACAAAUCUUUUACGCUGGCUUGAAUUUCGCUUUUAGAAAUAUCUUGGACUCUGCCUCAGGUGGAACGUUCAUGGAAAUUAUGUUAGGAGAAGACACAAAACUCCUAGACAAUAUCAUGACGAACUACUCUCAGUGGCACACUGAAAGGUCACCUACUAGUAAGAAGGUACACGCUAUAGAAGAAAUUAACUCGUUGAGUGCUAAGAUGGAGGAGUUAAUGAAUUUGGUUGCUAGUAGAAGUGCUCCUUUAGAUCCUAAUAAUAUACCCUUAUCUUCCUUGAUUGAGAGUAGCAACGCUAGCUUGGACGUUAAAUUAUUGGUAGGAAUAAUUUUGGCAACAACAAUGCUUUUAGAGGAAACUAUGUUCCUAGGACUUUCCUAGUAACCCCUCUAAUAACUUUUGCAACUCCUACAACAAUACUCAUGGAAAUUACAAUAGAUUACCCUCUGAUCUAGAGAGUAAUAUCAAAGAGUUUAUCAACUCACAAAAGAUUUUCAAUGCCUCCAUAGAGGAAAAACUACUCAAAAAUGACGAUUUGGCUAGGAGCGUUGAUAGAAUGUCUAGUGAUAUUGAUGCUUUGAAAGUUAGAUGUGCUCCUCCCAAGAUCAAUAUGGAUGAAACUUUGAAAGCUAUGCGUAUUUCCAUGAGUGAGAGCAAAUAAAGAAUCGCCCAAAUUCGUGCUAGACAUGAAUGGCUUAAAAGGGCGUGUUCUCGUGAUAAGAAUCACGAAGAUCUUAAAGUGCUUGGUGUGACUCCCAUUGAAUCUUUGUUUUCUUGUGUCAAACCUAAAGAUUAUGGGGCUGGAUAUGAAUCCACUUUGGUUGAAAAGCGCCCCAAUGAUUCGGAGUCCAUCUAUCUUGAUGCUAAAAGCACUGAAAGUGGAGUACAAGAUAUUAAAACCUUGAGUAGUAAUAAAAUUACUACUUUGGAUUUCAAGGAAUUCAAUUAUGAUAGUUUCUCCUUGAUUGAAUGCAUUUCCUUGAUGCAAUCAAUGCUAAACUCUCCACACGCUUAUAGCCAAAACAAGGCCUUUACUGAUCAUAUCGUCGAAGCUAUGAUAAAAUCUCUUGAAGAGAAACUUAAUUGGAAGUUUCUAUCCCUAGAAAGCUUCAUGAUGAGUGGGAACCUACUAUCAAAAUCAAAAUCAAAAACUAUGAAUGAAAUGCUUUGUGUGAUUUGGGUGCUAGUGUUUCCACGAUUCCAAAGUCUUUAUGUGAUGUUCUGGGUUUUAAUGAGAUUGAGGAGUGUUCUCUUAAUUUGCAUCUUGCGGAUUCUACUGUGAAGAAACCCAUGGGAAGGAUCAAUGNNNNNNNNNNNNNNNNNNNNNNNNNNNNNNNNNNNNNNNNNNNNNNNNNNNNNNNNNNNNNNNNNNNNNNNNNNNNNNNNNNNNNNNNNNNNNNNNNNNNCCCUUAGUGAUUUUGGUGGUUUGAAGACUUACGGGUUAAGUAUCUAAUGUGUUUGUGAGUGUACACAGGAUCUAUAAGUCAUUGAGGAGUUUGAGAUAUUUGAAGAAUAUCGACCCCUAAAAUUAUAUGUCUUCAGUUGAAGAAAUUGGUCUGAAGCUGAAGAAAUGAAUCGCGAGGAAUCUGCGAGGAAAUUGAUAUUCCUCAUGAAGAUACUGAUAUUGAGAAGUCCGGUGGUUCCUGAAGAAAAUCAUUCUGAAGAAUUUGAAGCAUGAAGAUUUACACUUUCUGUUUUACCUUCUUCGCAUUUGAGUAAUAGGAACACCGUACUGUUAAAGGGGGUCGAAGUUACACUAUGGAAUGAAUUUCCUCAUGAUGCUCAACCCAAGCCUAAUACUAUCAAAAGCCUCAAGUGAGGAAUAUGAGUGACAUGAGGACUCUCUCAGUUGAGGGUUCCGACCGUUUUGAUAACCACGCCAAGUCAUUGGUCUUAUCCACUCCAACGGUCAUAUUAUUUAAGGGCAUUAGUGUCAAAUCAUGUCGGGAUGCUCCCAGGCUAUAAAUAGCCACCCCCACAACCACUAGCUGGUUGGAUGCUCCGUUAGAAACUGACACUUGUCAUAAGAGCAACCCAAAUUCCUCAGAGCUUUCGAGAGUAAUUCAUCAGUGAGGAAAUACAUCACCCACCAAAACCACAAACCAAACCUAGUGAUUGAGCAUCACUGAAGAAGUUGUUCCUGUGUGGGACUGAAGCCUUUUACCUUUGAGGACUGUGCAUCCUCCAGACGGUUAGGCGUCAUGGUCUAGAGCUUUCCAGCAGUCAAUUGUGGAUCGCCGGGUGACCAAGUUUGUGAGGGUUUGGAAGUCUGCCCUGAAGACUUACCACGAGAGUUGGGCGAGGACUGUGUGUCCCUAGCUCAAGGAGAAUACGGUAGGGACUGUUUGUCCCGGGACUGGGUGUCCUUUGGUUUCAAUACCAAGCCGCUCCAAACCAGAUGUACGACUGUCACAACAGUUGGAACUGGGUCAUCAACGACUGUCUUCACUGAGAAACGGGUUGUAAUUCCUCAACUCUUUACUUUCCCCGUAUUAUGUGUUGAUGACUUUCACUGUGACUGUUUGAAGAAUUUGCUGAAGACUUUCUCUGAAUUUCCUCAACCCCAAAUUCUUCACGUUAGUUAUUCCUCAUCUGUAUUCUGCGUGCCUGCUCACUGUGUAAUCUGUUUUCACAUUCUUCACUCUGAAAAACAGCUGUUGUGAAACUUUGCACUUCUGAUCCUUUACUGUUUCCGCUGUAAGUUAGUCAUCAGUGAGGAAUUUCCUCAAAAGGAAUUUCCUCAGUGAUGAAAUUCUAAAAAUCUCCUAUUCACCCCCCUCUAGUCGAUAUAACACACUUUCACUAUCUAGCAUGCAACUAGUGUAUUGAGUUCAUAACAAACAGAGUAACGCCUUAAGCAAGAUGACAUGCUGUAGAGGGAUAAAUUCAUGCAAUAGAUAUAAACCCCAUCUUUUUACCCUUUAUGGCAACAACAUGAUGCGUGCCUUGCUACCCCUUCUGUCACUGGGUGAGGACACCGCACGGUAAGAACCCAAAACCAAGCACUUCUCCAAUUGCAAGAAUUAUAGAUCAAGUUGGCCAAACGAAACCCACAACUCGAAGAGAAUUACCAGGAUACAAAAUCAUGCAUAUAAGAGAUAAGAGGAAACUUAAAUAAUAAUCAUAAAUAAUCUGAUCAUAAAUCCACAAUUCAUCGGAUCUCGACAAAGACACUGCAAAAGAGGAUUACAUCAGAUAGAUCUCCAUGAAGAUCAUGGAGAACUUUGUAUUGAAGAUCCAAGAGAGAGAAGAAGCCAUCUAGCUACUAGCUAUGGACCCUUAGGUCUGUGGUGAACUACGCACACAUCAUCCGAGAGGCAAUGGUGUUGAUGAAGAAGCCCUCCGUGUCCGAAUCCCCCUCCGACAGGGCACCAGAACGAUCCACAGAUGGGAUUUGCGGAGACAGAAGCUUGCGACGGNNNNNNNNNNNNNNNNNNNNNNNNNNNNNNNNNNNNNNNNNNNNNNNNNNNNNNNNNNNNNNNNNNNNNNNNNNNNNNNNNNNNNNNNNNNNNNNNNNNNCCCGAGAUUCGAUCGUCAGUAUCCGCAUACUUAUUUUCAAUCUCGUUUACCGUACAAGUCUCUUUACUCGUUCCGUAAUACAAGAUCCCGCAACUUACACUAAGUCACAUUGCUUGCAAGGCUUGUGUGUGAUGUUGUAUUACCGAGUGGGCCCCGAGAUACCUCUCCGUCAUACGGAGUGACAAAUCCCAGUCUUGAUCCAUACUAACUCAACGAACACCUUCGGAGAUACCUGUAGAGCAUCUUUAUAGUCACCCAGUUAUGUUGCGACGUUUGAUACACACAAAGCAUUCCUCCGGUGUCAGUGAGUUAUAUGAUCUCAUGGUCAUAGGAACAAAUACUUGACACGCAGAAAACAGUAGCAACAAAAUGACACGAUCAACAUGCUACGUCUAUUAGUUUGGGUCUAGUCCAUCACAUGAUUCUCCUAAUGAUGUGAUCCCGUUAUCAAGUGACAACACUUGCCUAUGGUCAGGAAACCUUGACCAUCUUUGAUCAACGAGCUAGUCAACUAGAGGCUUACUAGGGACAGUGUUUUGUCUAUGUAUCCACACAUGCACUGUGUUUCCAAUCAAUACAAUUAUAGCAUGGAUAAUAAACGAUUAUCAUGAACAAAGAAAUAUAAUAAUAACUAAUUUAUUAUUGCCUNNNNNNNNNNNNNNNNNNNNNNNNNNNNNNNNNNNNNNNNNNNNNNNNNNNNNNNNNNNNNNNNNNNNNNNNNNNNNNNNNNNNNNNNNNNNNNNNNNNNUUCUAGUUGAAAGCUAAGGCUAGACCACAACACAUUGACCUGCACAACCUCAUCAACAGGAGAAGAUAAUAUAAACAGAUUCUCAGACUUAGUCUGGAAWUUCAGCCACAUGCCUACUUUGAGUGGGCAUAACUUGCACAUAUGGAAUCCUAAUCAGGAGAUGAAACCAACAAGAGGUGGAGGGGGUCACCCUCUACUAGCACAACCAAGAAACAAUCACAAAGGCUCACCACAACUCAUGGAACCAAGCUCCAAACAUAGAAGAAAAUGAAAAUAUGUCAUCUCCAGAAAAUGUUCCAAUGGCAAAACUAAGUUCACCAAUGGAUUCCUUGGGAGAUUAUACCACAAAAUCAUAUAUAAUAUGUAUGCACUUGCUUGGAAAAAGUGAUCACAAACUAGGAAGUGAAAUCUACAUAGAAUCCCAUCUAGUGAAUAGUGCAUCAUCACAUGUGCUAUUCACUAGAAGACAAGAUACAUAAGCACAUGUUCAUGUCCACAAUAACAAUGUGGUUCAUGAGGGGUAGACCUCAUACCUAUGUGCAUUGGCACACCACCACAACAUCCACAUGUGACUAGCACAACAAAGAUAACACCUACACAUGAAAUCUACACAAUCACUCCUACACAAGGUAAGACACUUAUGCAACCCUAGUGCAACACACACACAUGCACAUGACUUGAACCACAUGCAUAUGCUUGCAAGCAACCUACUCCAACAUAUAAAUAAGGUGUGUGGGAGGGGGAAACCUUUCACACACAUACACACUUGCACUAAAGGCACAAACUACCCCAAGACAACAACAACCUACCAUGCACACUCUCUAGUUACACCACAAGGCACAACAAAACAGCCCACAUCAUCAUCACCUACACAUACACCCACUAUCUCCACAUGCACAUGAAUCUACUAGAACACAUACACCUACAACAUGUGUGACUUGGAGCAAAAGUAUUAGCACCACAAGCCGUAGAGAGAAACAAAAAAUAAAUGGCACCAUACACACUUGUGCAACCUGCAUCUACACAUGCAAGGAGAGGAGCAAAAGGAAACAAUAUGCACAAAAAAUAAAAAUGGGGGAGAGGAUUCGAACCCAACACCCCUCUCUGAAACCAAAGCAGCACUACCACUCUGCUAGAGACAAGGCACUUGACAAAGGAGGGGCUUCACACAAGUCAACAUGCCCUGCUGCGGCAACCACAGCACCGAAUAAAACCAAGAAAACAAAAGGAGGCUUCCCCUGGGAUCGAACCUAGGACCUCACGAGUACAACCGCAAGACACCAACCACUGCGCUAGUGCAUUGCCGCCUGACAGAGUAAGGGACUGAACCAACGAAUACCAUCGCGAGCACCUAGUGCUCUGCACAGCGCAUAGGGUCGCCGGCGACAGGGAGGACGCCGUGCUGCUCUGCUGCUGGUGCUGCACCAUGAAGGGAAACGUCCCUGCUACUACUGUACGUCUGCUACACAAGGAAGAAUCCCUGCUGCACCUAGCGCUACCAAGCCACCACCACAUGCACUACAACACCUGCAACUGCCAACCUGACGCUGGUACAGGGGAUCGCUGGCAUCGAUCUACGCGAAGCUACCGAGGAAGAAGGAAGGAGGGGACGGUUCCUCACCUUGGGGAAGGAAGGAGAGGACCCAAUGGGCGACGAGGCGACGAAGAGGAAGAAGAACAGCGACAUAGAUCUCCUGGAAGCAGAACGAGGCAGCAGGAAGAAGGGCUUCGGGUCCGCGGCGAGGGCGUCGUCUCUGUCGUCGGUGAGGAGGCUCCUCGACCUCACCGAGGGCAAAAAUGGAGCGCGGGGGAGUCCCGCUUGCCCCUGGACAUGGCCUCGGCACCGGAGGGCGACGAGAGGACGGCUAUCGAUGGCGGAGGCUUCUCUCUCUCUCUUCUGGUUGGAACUACAAAGUACUCACGAGGGAGGGGAGGAAGAAGAAGAGAUGGAGAUGGGGAGAGGUGGCGGCGGCGGCUGAGGAAGAAGGAAACCCUAGGAGAGGGAGGCACGGGCGCCGAGAUUAAAUAGGGGGGUCCCUCGACGUUCGAGCUCACGGCGUCGCGCGUGCUCUCUCUGGCGCCUGAACGGAAAAACAGAGAGAGRGGGGGGGGAAGACGCCGUCAGAAGGGAGAGGGACGCCGCAUGGGCUCUGCGCGAGAGAGAGGGAAAAAGGGUCGGCCUGUGGGAGCAAGCCCACAGGUGGCGACAGAUAGAGGUAAAGGGAAUCCCUCAUUUCCCAUUUAUAGAAGAAAGAAACAAAGAGAAGAAAUUAAAGCACAAAAUAAAAUACUGGGGAUAAAAUCAAACAAAAAUAUCCCCUGGUCAUAGAAAAAUAUGACCUAUUUGAAUAAAAUGCAAAAUGAAUAUUAGGGGCAAAUGAAUGUUUACAAAACAGCAUUAUGUGGGAUGUUUUGUAAUUAUUUUGCACCUUUUGAAAACCCCUUUUAAAUCAGCAACUCCACAUUUCAAAAUCACCACAAUUCUACUAACACAAGAGCAUUUUUUAAAGAGGAAAGGAAGAAGUGAUUUUUUUAACAUAGAAGAAAUAGAGAGGGAGUGAAGAUGGUUUUGAAACCUAAGCAUUCACAUGGUAUCCUACUAGAACAAGCAACCUAGUAGAGUGGCACCACACCACACAUAUGUCCACAUAUCACAAACACCACAUGAAAGCAAAAUGACCACAAUGCAACAUCACAAGACAUGUGCAUGAAAUGUUAUGUUAUGCAUGAAUGCAAGGGAAGGAAAUGUUAAGGGACACACAUGAAAUCAUGGCAUUGACCUCUCUCAUAGCAUUGACAUGGUGGUCCCACAUGGAAGGUUACAAAAAGGGGAAGCUUNNNNNNNNNNNNNNNNNNNNNNNNNNNNNNNNNNNNNNNNNNNNNNNNNNNNNNNNNNNNNNNNNNNNNNNNNNNNNNNNNNNNNNNNNNNNNNNNNNNNAAUAAUUACAAACAGCCCACAUAAUGUUGUUUGUAAAUAUUCAUUUCCCCUAAUAUUCAUUUGCAUUUAUUCAAAUAGGUCAUAUUUUCUAUGACCAGGGGAUAUUUUGUUUGAUUUUAUCCCGAGUAUUUUAUUCUGUGCUUUAAUUCUUCUCUGUGUUUUUGUAAAUGGGAAAUAUGGGAUUCCCUUUACCUCUAUCUGUCGCCACCUGUGGGCUUGCUCCCACAGGCCGGCCCUUUUUCCCUCUCUCUCGCGCAGAGCCCAUGCGGCGUCCCUCUCCCUUCUGACGGCGUCUCCCCCCUCUCUGCUUUUCCGUCAGGCGUCAGAGAGAGCACGCACGACGCCGUGAGCUCGAACGUCGAGGGACCCCUAUUUAAUCUCGGCGUCCGUGCCUCCCUCUCCUAGGGUUUCCUUCUUCCUCAGCCGCCGCGGCCACCUCUCCCCAUCUCCAUCUCUUCUUCUUCCUCCCCUCCCCUGGUGAGUACUCUGUAGUUUCCAACCAGCAGAGAGAGAGAGAGAAGCCUCCGCCGUCGAUCGCCGUCCUCUCGUCGCCCUCCGGUGCCGAGGCCAUGUCCGAGGGGCAAGGCGGGACCUCCCCCGCGCUCCUAUUUUUYGCCCUCGGUGAGGUCGAGGAGCCUCCUCACCGACGACAGAGACGACGCCCUCGCCGCGGACCCGAMGCCCUUCUUCCCGCUGCCUCGUUCUGCUUCCAGGAGAUCUAUGUCGCUGUUCUUCUUNNNNNNNNNNNNNNNNNNNNNNNNNNNNNNNNNNNNNNNNNNNNNNNNNNNNNNNNNNNNNNNNNNNNNNNNNNNNNNNNNNNNNNNNNNNNNNNNNNNNUUGGAUUUUGUGCACUUUUGUGGGCUAUAUGGAACUGUAGGAAUGAUGUGGUUUUUGACAGACAUACAAUAUACAUUUUUGCAGGUACUACACAGAGCUACGGCAUUGAUCCGUACAUGAUCGUUACUCGUGCGGAAACCGGGGAGCCUUUGGUUACUGACUCUACCCGAUGGGAGACGGUAGCGCGGGAUAUCUUCAACCGGUUUGGAUUACAGUUCAGUAAUAGGAUAGAUGAGUAGACAUCUAGGCCUAUUUUGCCGGUUGUGGCAAUUUUCAUUUUGCUUUAAUUUAUCUGUCGGAGACUGUGUUGAAUCGAACUUGGUUUGCUUGCUUAAUAAAGGGUCCGUAUGCAUCGUGCUGAUGCAGAGGCCGAAGGGAAU